rnacentral:rRNA from 1 species
UUUUUUUGCAUAUCAAAUAAGCGGAGGAAAAGAAACCAACAGGGAUUGCCUUAGUAGCGGCGAGUGAAGCGGCAAAAGCUCAAAUUUGAAAUCUGGCACUUUCAGUGUCCGAGUUGUAAUUUGAAGAAGGUAUCUUUGGGUCUGGCUCUUGUCUAUGUUUCUUGGAACAGAACGUCACAGAGGGUGAGAAUCCCGUGCGAUGAGAUGACCCAGACCUAUGUAAAGUUCCUUCGAAGAGUCGAGUUGUUUGGGAAUGCAGCUCUAAGUGGGUGGUAAAUUCCAUCUAAAGCUAAAUAUUGGCGAGAGACCGAUAGCGAACAAGUACAGUGAUGGAAAGAUGAAAAGAACUUUGAAAAGAGAGUGAAAAAGUACGUGAAAUUGUUGAAAGGGAAGGGCUUGAGAUCAGACUUGGUAUUUUGUAUGUUACUCUCUCGGGGGUGGCCUCUACAGUUUACCGGGCCAGCAUCAGUUUGGGCGGUAGGACAAUUGCAAAGAAAUGUGGCACUGCCUCGGUAGUGUGUUAUAGUCUUUGUCGAUACUGCCAGCCUAGACUGAGGACUGCGGCUUCGGCCUAGGAUGUUG